rnacentral:lncRNA from 1 species
UUGGAUGUCCAUGGCGUCGUUUAAAAGAUAGGUUACGUGUCGUCAUGGGAACCCUGCGAAAUUUCUUUGAUUCCGAUUUGCAAAUCCGGUGAACAAAAUGAUGAAUUUAUCGUUAAUCGCAUAAUUAGGGUCAUCUUUGAUUCGAUUUCCAGGUCUUUGAGGAAACGAUAUGUGUAGCUGAAACGAUGGAGAAUGGAAGGAUAUAUCGAAUUGCAAAAGGAAGAGCGUUCAAAUGGAUGCGAUGAUGAGAACGAUUGAUUUUGAGUCGACUUAAAUUGCGUCGUUUGGAGAAUGGGUUACGUGGAGGUUUUCUUCUUCUAAACAGUACCAGAUAUAUAUAUUAGAAAAAUUUUAUGGCCCGUGCUAAGCACGGCCCGUGAAGGAUAAUAUGAGUAUUUUAUGAGGUUGCUCUAAGAACGAAUGAAAGUAUAAUGUUAUAAUUGAAUAGAAUUUUUCAAAGUACAAUACUUUAAUAGAGGAAAAUGAAAGUAAGAUGAUAUAAAUGACAGUUAAAUGGAAAUACAUUCUUAUUUUUUGUAUUUAACACUUUGAAAUUAAUACAAAACAACACCCACUUGUAGGUAGUGUAUCAGAAACACAACUCUCAAAGCAUCGCAUGCACUACAAUAAGACAAUAUGGGAAUAUACAAUGAAAAUACAUUGUUAUUUCUUGUAUUCAUUUUCAUAUACCUAUGCUCCGAUUGGUCUUCGAACAAUGCCAAAUCUGUACACAAGUGGAAAUAUCUAUUUUAGAGAAAACUGAUGAAUUCAAAUAUUCAUUCUAAUUUUCUGUACAUCAAGUUCAUAUAAACUCAACUAAUUUAAAAAGAAUUAGCUAUACAAGUAAGAACCCAAGGUAAAAAAGUGAACAUUUGAAUUGAACCCAUUAAUAUGACUUGUUCGAUCUUUAGAACUAAUAACUUAUUUUUAAUAGAUUAUAAAAAACAAGUUUCUAAAAGAAAAAAGUGCAUUACGAGUCCUAGAAUCCACAAUGUUAAACAUAAAAUUAAACACAAGAAACAUCAAAGUAUUAAUCUUUAAAUAAUGUGUAUUGUGUAUAUAAGAUAUACAUUUCAAGAAGAAACCCACUAUGAAAACAAGAGAUACAUAGUAAUCAAAUAGAAUCUUUACUUAAAGUUUUUUACUUUUAAAAAUGAUAGUUGUAGAUAGUUUCUCUAUGUACGAAGGGAUAUCCUAUUAGUCCUCUAAGUGUAGCUAAGAAUCCUCUAUCAAAAAUUAGAACUCCAUCGCCCAAGUAAAAAGUUCAUGUUACUUUAAAGACAAACACUUAUUAAAAAAGUUCAAGAACCCUUGAUCCAUAACCAUUAUGAUUCGGACCAUAGAAAAUUAACAUUUUGCAGACACGUAAGGUAGAUUUUGAAUGAUUACAAGUAUCAUUAACAUAUGAAAAUUAAAUAUGAUUUUGAACAAACUUUUGAGGUUUUAUAUAAACAAAAGUAAAUCUGUAAAGCUAAAGAUUGUAAAUUUUAAUAUAUGAUGUUAUAAUCAAGCUAAUUAAUUACUUUGAUGGCUAAAAGGAUUUUAUACCAUUGACUUAAUUCCAUAAAUCAAAAUUAAAUCAUAUAUAAAUUGAUAUAUAAAUCCUACAACUCAACUAAGCAACACAAUCGAACUAAAAUGGAUAAAGAAUCAUAUUUUUUGGAUGUAUACUCAUGAGUUAAUCCCAAGUCACCAAGGAAUUUUGACUUUGGUAUUUUAAAUUGUUUGAGGAUCGACCCCAUGAACUCGAUUCAUUUUUUUGUGUCUUCAAAAUGAGAAGACAACAAGAACAUAACAAUCCCCAUCAAUUGUAUACAACCCUUUUAUAAUUUUGGUUAUUAUGGAUUCCAUUCGAUCCCCACACAAGGUGAUAGUAGGGGGCAACUGGCUCCAAGCUUCAUGAGAGGGAAACAUAAUUAAAAACAAAGAAAACCUGAUAAGAUGGAAAAAGUUAUCCGUAACUAAAAAAACAUACAAAACAAGAAAACCUAAAAUUGUCAUACUCAAACCCACCUUCAUCUUAAUGGACGAACGUCAAUUGUUGAUGACAGAAUAGUAGGGCUCUAAAGACGGCUGGUAAUUUGACUCCAACCGAUCAACAUCAAGAUGAAGAAUUGCGGUUCCAAAUAGUGAAUUGGUAGAUUAAUGUAGAGGUUAUAUGUCUUUCUUAGCGGAUACAGGGGAGCCCAAAACGAGGCGUUGGGGAAGAACAUGGCGUCUUUAAAAAAAUGGUAGUCCCCAUGGAGAAUUUAAUCGGAGUUUUUAUUGCAUAGAAAUCCGGAAUCGACAAUUAGGGUUUUUUUUUUAUGUGGAGGAUAUGGUCGGAAUUGUUCCAGCGGUGAACGGAUAAGUCACAUGAUACACCGAGAAGAGGAAAAAGCGAUUGAUUCCAGAAUUCGGAGGUAACGGAGAUACGACACGACGGAAGGUGAAUCGUUAUUGUAAAUAUCUGUGGCGUCUCUUUGGCGGUAGAUGAUAUGGCGUCAAAUUAACCGGGUGAAAUUGAUUUAGAAGGUAGGAGAUAAAUAAGGUUUUUAU